rnacentral:lncRNA from 1 species
UCAACAUUGCCUUAGAAAGAGAAAAGUAAGAAAAGGCGUAGACAAUUGAAAUGGUAGCCUGAAAUUAUUUACAUUACGGUCCUUUGUGGAUGGAUUAUUAUGCAUCUGUGUAUUGUGUCUCACUGGGCAAUCUAGAAUAUUACUAAUGCGAUAAGGACAUAUGCAUAACAUGGCUCUCUUUAUGUUGAUAAAUAUUUGGACCCUGAGACUAAAUGUGGAGCUGGAUCUUGCUUGCGCCCCACCCAAUCAGCGCGCUCACUGAUGGCACCACGAUCGCACGGAAAACACCACUUGUGACGGAUCAACGAAUACACUGGAAGGAGAAAAAUAUUAUGGGAGUCGGGGUCUUUGGAAGAAUAACAGACUUGUGGUGGGACGUGUAAAACUGUAGCUAUUUUGGGCAAAGCUGGAAUUCUUUAGCAACAAGCCCUUUUUGGCUCUCGGUUCCGUGGGGAUCACAGACAGAUGUCGGUGGAGGAUGAUGCGCUUCUGACGAAGUGCAUUGGUGCUGAGGGUGACGAUACAUGGCUGAACUGGGAAUAUCGGCAGAGGCGGCGAGAUGAAGGCAGCGGCGAGGCCGAAGCACACUCGGCUCUUCUGGCGGCUAGGUGUCUGUGGAAUGGGGAUGAUUAUAGCCACCUGGCUCUUGCACCUCCUACAUGUAACAGACUCUUAUGCUGUUCAUGACUUCAGCUGGUCUAAGAGAGAACUAAAGCAGGACAGUGAAGAUGAGAACCACACCUCCAAUACCCCUUCAACACCUAGAGCUGGUACACUAGGUAUUCAUGUGUCUGUGUAUUUAUGUGCUCUCAAAUAGUUUCUUUAUUUACCUUAAAUAGUUAAAUUCCUUGC